rnacentral:rRNA from 1 species
CGGACGGGUGAGUAACGCGUGGGGAACCUGCCCUGUACCGGGGGAUAGCAGCCGGAAACGGCUGAUAAUACCGCAUAAGCGCACGAAUGUCGCAUGACAUGGUGUGAAAAACUCCGGUGGUAUAGGAUGGACCCGCGUCUGAUUAGCCUGUUGGUGGGGUAAAAGCCUACCAAAGCGAAGAUCAGUAGCCGAGUUGAGAGACUGACCGGCCACAUUGGGACUGAGACACGGCCCAGACUCCUACGGGAGGCAGCAGCC